rnacentral:rRNA from 1 species
GGGGAAUAUUGGACAAUGGGCGAAAGCCUGAUCCAGCCAUGCCGCGUGAGUGAUGAAGGCCCUAGGGUUGUAAAGCUCUUUCACCGGUGAAGAUAAUGACGGUAACCGGAGAAGAAGCCCCGGCUAACUCCGUGCCAGCAGCCGCGGUAAUACGGGGGGGGCAAGCGUUGUUCGGAAUUACUGGGCGUAAAGGGCUCGUAGGCGGCCAACUAAGUCAGACGUGAAAUCCCCAGGCUCAACCUGGGAACUGCGUCUGAUACUGGAUGGCUUGAAUCCGGGAGAGGGAUGCAGAAUUCCAGGUGUAGCGGUGAAAUGCGUAGAUAUCUGGAGGAAUACCGGUGGCGAAGGCGGCAUCCUGGACCGGCAUUGACGCUGAGGAGCGAAAGCCAGGGGAGCAAA